rnacentral:rRNA from 1 species
UGCCUCAGUAACGGCGAGUGAAGCGGCAACAGCUCAAAUUUGAAAUCUGGCCUCACGGUCCGAGUUGUAAUUUGUAGAGGAUGUUUCGGGUGCGUCUCCGGUCUAAGUUCCUUGGAACAGGGCGUCAUAGAGGGUGAGAAUCCCGUACGUGACUGGUUGACAACCCCAUGUGAAACUCCUUCGACGAGUCGAGUUGUUUGGGAAUGCAGCUCAAAAUGGGUGGUAUAUUUCAUCUAAAGCUAAAUAUUGGCCAGAGACCGAUAGCGCACAAGUAGAGUGAUCGAAAGAUGAAAAGCACUUUGGAAAGAGAGUUAAAAAGUACGUGAAAUUGUUGAAAGGGAAGCGCUUGCAACCAGACUUGCCCGGGGGUGAUCAACCGUCCUUUUGGGCGGUGCACUCUCCCUCGGUCAGGCCAGCAUCGAUUCGGGCGGUAGGACAAAGGUUCCGGGAACGUGGCCCACUUCGGUGGGUGUUAUAGCCCGGGGCGUAAUGCUACCAGCCUGGAUCGAGGACCGCGCUUCGGCUAGGAUGCUGGCGUAAUGGUUGCUAGCGACCCGUCUUGAAACACGGACCAAGGAGUCGACCAACUCUGCGAGUGUUUGGGUGUUAAACCCGUGCGCGUAAUGAAAGUGAACGGAGGUAAGAACCCGCAAGGGCGCAUUAUCGACCGAUCCUGAUGUCUUCGGAUGGAUUUGAGUAAGAGCAAAGUUGGUCGGACCCGAAAGAUGGUGAACUAUGCGUGAAUAGGGUGAAGCCAGAGGAAACUCUGGUGGAGGCUCGCAGCGGUUCUGACGUGCAAAUCGAU